UGCCCGUAAGCGAACUAGCGCUCAGAGUGCCAGCAAAGAAUGAUUCACAGACAUUUACCAUGAGUAUGGUACGGCCAGGUCUGGCGUAGGGUCGACUGUGACUUCUCUAACUAUAGUGGGGGAUAUUGAGGGGAUAAAUUUUUUAUAAGGAACUCGGCAAAAUUUCCAUUGGCCCAUCAGGGCAUAUUGGAACACGGGCCUACCGACUGUUUACCAAAAACAUAGCCCUCGGGUUAAUAUGAAAAUAGAUGUAUAGCAGGGUGAUGCCUGCACUCAAUGGUUGUAUCUAAAAAGCGGUUGAUAAAAGUCGACCUUGUAAGGACAAUUGAAUGGCCGCGGUAACACUGACCGUGUUAAUGUAGCAAGUAAUCAAUAUCCAAUUAAUUGUUGGCCAGUAUGAAUGGCGCCACGAAGGCCCCACUGUUUUAAGGAAAUUCCCAGUGAAAUUGAAUUCGUAGUGAAGAUGCUACGUCACAAUUUGUUAGAGGAAAAGACCCCGUUGCGCUUUACUUGAGCACUUUUAUGGCCCCGGCCUUCCCAUGCGUGGGAUCCGGCCGAAUUUAAAUGGGCGGCUUAGAUUUUGUGGCAGCCCCCCGGUGGGGCAAAUGAACCACCACUCCCCCAUGUCAAAGGGGCUAACCCCCCCCUUGGGGGGGACAGUGUAAGUAGGACAGUUUGGUUGGGGCGACCGCCUUUUAAAAAGUAACGAAGGUGCGCUUAAGGUGUGCAAUUAAUGACUGAAGCCUGACUGCGAGGGGGGUACCCCGAGCAGACACCCCUAAUCCCGCCCGAAGGGCGGCGGUGGGGUGGGGCAUAGUGACCCGUUGAUUUAGAGUGGAAUAGUUAACGAUCAACGAAUAAAAGUUUUCACGGGGAUAACAGCGUAAUAUUGUUAGAGAGUUUAUAUGGCCUGACGAUAGUUUGCGACCAUCUAUGCUUGCACAUUGCGGCAUCCUGGGGUGCAGCCGCUCCCAGGUUGUGCUGUUUCUGGGAAA
rnacentral:rRNA from 1 species